rnacentral:rRNA from 1 species
AUUGAACGCUGGCGGCAGGCCUAGCACAUGCAAGUCGAGCGGAUGAAGGGAGCUUGCUCCUGGAUUCAGCGGCGGACGGGUGAGUAAUGCCUAGGAAUCUGCCUGGUAGUGGGGGAUAACGUCCGGAAACGGGCGCUAAUACCGCAAACGUCCUGAGGGAGAAAGUGGGGGAGCUUGGGACCCCACGCUAUCAGAUGAGCCUAGGUCGGAUUAGCUAGUUGGUGGGGUAAAGGCCUACCAAGGCGACGAUCCGUAACUGGUCUGAGAGGAUGAUCAGUCACACUGGAACUGAGACACGGUCCAGACUCCUACGGGAGGCAGCAGUGGGGAAUAUUGGACAAAGGGCGAAAGCCUGAUCCAGCCAUGCCGCGUGUAUGAAGAAGGUCUUCGGAUUGUAAAGCACUUUAAGUUGGGAGGAAGGGCAGUAAGUUAAUACCUUGCUGUUUUGACGUUACCAGCAGAAUAAGCACCGGCUAACUUCGUG